AUUGAACGCUGGCGGCAGGCUUAACACAUGCAAGUCGAGCGGGGUGAUGGUGCUUGCACUAUCACUUAGCGGCGGACGGGUGAGUAAUGCUUAGGAAUCUGCCUAUUAGUGGGGGACAACAUCUCGAAAGGGAUGCUAAUACCGCAUACGUCCUACGGGAGAAAGCAGGGGAUCACUUGUGACCUUGCGCUAAUAGAUGAGCCUAAGUCGGAUUAGCUAGUUGGUGGGUAAAGGCCUACCAAGGCGACGAUCUGUAGCGGGUCUGAGAGGAUGAUCAGCACCACUGGGACUGAGACACGGCCCAGACUCCUACGGGAGGCAGCAGUGGGGAAUAUUGGACAAUGGGGGGAACCCUGAUCCAGCCAUGCCGCGUGUGUGAAGAAGGCCUUAUGGUUGUAAAGCACUUUAAGCGAGGAGGAGGCUCUUUUGGUUAAUACCCAGAAUGAGUGGACGUUACUCGCAGAAUAAGCACCGGCUAACUCUGUGCCAGCAGCCGCCGUAAAAC
rnacentral:rRNA from 1 species